rnacentral:rRNA from 1 species
UCGGCGUCCGCGCCGCCGGAUAACCGUAGUAAUUCUAGGGCUAAUACGUGCGAAGCGCCGAAGCCGCGAGGCGACGGCGUUCUCGCCGGAUGUAGGAACCGACCCGGGGGACCGCCGGGGGCAACCCGGCGCCCCCGAGACGGGGCGAACCACGGUGAAAUGACGGAUCGUCGGCCCCGCGCCGGCGACUCGCCGAAUGAGUUUCUGACCUAUCAACUCGAGACGGCGGGGUAGAGGCCCGCCGCGGUAACGACGGGUAACGGGGAAUCAGGGUUCGAUUCCGGAGAGGGAGCCCCGAGAAACGGCUACCACUUCCAAGGAAGGCAGCAGGCGCGCAACUUACCCUAAUCUCGAUUCGAGGAGGUAGUGACAAGAAAUACCGAUGCGGGACCCUACGGGUGCCGCGUUCGGAAUGAGUACGAUUCGAACCACCUAACGAGGAACGUUCGGAGGGCAAGUCUGGUGCCAGCAGCCGCGGUAAUUCCAGCUCCAAUAGCGUACGUUAAAGUUGCUGCAG